rnacentral:lncRNA from 1 species
CUUUUUUGUAGAAUGUUUAGGGUUUGCAAUUUGUCAGUAGGGACUUAUGAAUAAUUAUAUAGUAUGUUUAUUGAUUAUUGCUGCAGGCCUUACCACAACAUAUUGUUUAUUACAUUAACACGGAUUUUCAAUUGGUAGAAUAUUGUCCAAUUUGAAGUCACACGAAAUCGUCUUCUUUUAAUCAGAAUUACCAAAAAAAUAGCCAUUAUUCAUUUUUCAAAUAGUGAUAAAUGACUAUAGUUGAUGAUUUAGGAUAAUGUGUGUAAUCUUAUAGAAAAUGAGGCUUUUAAAAUCACAAAGUAUUUUCCAUGUUACUUGACCUACAAUACUGUUAGACAGAAAACACGUGGUUUGUAGCAUACGACCAAUAUAUAGCUUUAUAUACU